rnacentral:rRNA from 1 species
GGUACUAAGCCAUGCUAGUCUUUGCAGUAAUGCGAGGCAUACGGCUCAGUAACACGUAGUCAACUUACCCUAUGGACGAGGAUAAUCUCGGGAAACUGAGCAUAAUACUCGAUAGAUCAUAAUGCCUGGAAUGGUUUAUGGUUGAAAUGAUUCGUCGCCAUAGGAUAGGACCGCGGCCUAUCAGCUUGUUGGUGAGGUAAUGGCCCACCAAGGCGAUUACAGGUACGGGCUCUGAGAGGAGAAGCCCGGAGAUGGGUACUGAGACAAGGACCCAGGCCCUAUGGGGCGCAGCAGGCGAGAAAACUUUGCAAUGUGCGAAAGCACGACAAGGUUAAUCCGAGUGAUUUCUGCUAAAGAAAUCUUUUGCAAGUCAUAAAACCACUAGUGAAUAAGGGGUGGGCAAGUUCUGGUGUCAGCCGCCGCGGUAAAACCAGCACCUCAAGUGGUCAGGAGGAUUAUUGGGCCUAAAGCAUCCGUAGCCGGCUCUGUAAGUUUUCGGUUAAAUCCAUGUGCUCAACGCAUGGGCUGUCGAAAAUACUGCAUAGCUAGGGAGUGGGAGAGGUAGACGGUACUCGGUAGGAAGGGGUAAAAUCCUUUGAUCUAUCGAUGACCACCUGUGGCGAAGGCGGUCUACCAGAACACGUUCGACGGUGAGGGAUGAAAGCUGGGGGAGCAAACCGGAUUAGAUACCCGGGUAGUCCCAGCUGUAAACGAUGCAGACUCGAUGAUGCAUUGGCAUAUAGCCAGUGCAGUGUC